AAAGGUGGAAGGGAAGAAGUGACCCCACAACGUUGUCACUGGCAUGCGUCCCACGCCUCAUUAAUAAAAAUCUGAAGAAUUCCAGAAGCAGAACUAAAAGAAAAAUUAACCACGGUGAGGAAAUCAAGUCCAGACUCUCAGCCUUCAGCUGCGUCCACAGUGACGUCACCAAAGACAGAGACAGACUUGGCUGUUUGUCUUGGGCCCAUGAAGAAUGGUGAUUAUGGACCAGGAAGAGUGAGUGAAACAAGGAUUAUUGAACAAGAGGGAAGAGGAGGAAGUGUGGACCCAGAGGCAGCGUGGCGGGAAGGCAACAUGAAGACCCAAGGCACAGGGACACAGAACCUGCUGGAGCCUGAAACCCAGAUGAGAAGAAGCAUCCAGGCUCCUGCCUGGAAAUUGACCCUCACCUGGACCCGGCAGUCAACAAGCAUUUCCGGCCCUCUUCUUUCUAUGAUCCAUCCUUUGUGUUGAAAUUUCCCAAGCCAACUUGGAAAAAAAAAACAACUACUCCCCAUUAGGAGAAUAAAUAUGUGCUGUUUUAGUUUA